rfam:Myotis davidii contig108035, whole genome shotgun sequence.
AUCACAUGGGAAUCUUGUUAAAAAGCAGAUUCUGAUUCCGUAGGUCUGGGAGGGCCCGAGAUUCUGCAUUUCUAUCAGCCUCCCAGGUGGUGAGGA